rfam:Pan troglodytes isolate Yerkes chimp pedigree #C0471 (Clint) chromosome 7, whole genome shotgun sequence.
GCUGGGCUUGGUGGCGCGAGCCUGUAAUCUCAGCCACUUGGGAGGCUGAGGCAGGAGAAUCACUUGAACCCGGGAGGCUGAGGUUGCAGUGAGCCGGGAUCACACCAUUGCACUCCAGCCUGGGCAACAUAGUGAGACCCCAUCUCUU